GAAAGACAAAGGCACCUGAGGUCUGGUGGUGCUUGGCCCCUGGCCCGCCACACUUGUGGCAGGUGAGUUAGCCUGGGGUCAUGCCCUGGGGAUCGGCUUCCUUUUGUCUAUUAAUACACUCCUGUGAGGUGACAGAUAACCCAAGUUCUAAAGCACUUUUGUGAAAUACAAGUGAGAAUUUGAAAAGGGGAUGCUUUGGUUUCUGCAAUCUCAAACUUGUGGCGUUUAAAAACAACAAAUAUUUUUAAUGUUUUUAACUCAUACUUGGAUUUCUUUGUCACUUUUUACAGCUUUUGGAGACCAAACUAUAAAUAUAUUACCAGGGAUGGUUUUGUGUUGUCCUAUAGACUUCUUAAAUUUGACAAAAAAUUUGAACAGAACUUGCUUGUGGUAGCCAACAGCUUUGUCUGAACCUUAAAAGUCAAAAUGUGUUAUAUAAGAGAUCCUAACUACUUGUUUUUACCUUCGGUGUGAACUAGUAGUAAUUUUGAAAAGGCAAACGUGACUGAAUAACUUUACCUGAAGAGCUUUAAAAGUGGCCUUUCUGUUACAUACGUGGCACAGACGGCUUACGAGCUCGGGGCCCUUGGCCCUGCCUCCCAUACUUCAUCUCUGACGCCACCAGAGAUGUCUUACGGAUUCUGUAUCUAACAUGCUUAGGGUGGUAAGAGCCCUCAGGACUGCAUCACAGAGUAAACACAACCUUUCCGAGGCGGCAGAUUUGUGUGUCUUUGUUUCAUUUGUGGCUGGAGACAGUCAAUGUUUUUGUCUCAGUAGUCAAUAUUCAUCUUACCUUAUGGUUGGUUAUGUAAUCGCCUGCUAUAUACUGUAAGCUGUGCAAUAAAACAAUUGUGUAUCUGGGAUCACCUUUGGAGACGUGACAUUUCCUAGCUCGAUGACAUUGGUUGUGAACUG